UCUACCUUUUGGCUCUAUGCUUCUAUACUUCUCUGUUCCCUUUGUGACCUCAUCACAUGUGUCCUUACUGGUUUCACAUCAGUCCUCUGCAAAAAUGUUAUUUCGAUGAACGCAAGGCCGAGACUAUCUUGUUCACUGUCAUAUCAUCAGCCCCUAGCGAAAUGACUAAGUAUAUAGUAAGAGCUUAAGAAGUAUUUAAUGAAUUGAAUUGAAAUUGAAAUUCCAUAUUCCCUUUGUAAAAGGCAACUGUCCUUGAAAUGAGCAACACGCUAAACCAUGUUACACUAAAGCUAUAUAUUCUCAGGCAAAAUCCUAGAAGGCAAUGUUGGACAAGAAAGUUAUGUACAAAUGGUAUAAAGAAGCUUCAAACAGUAUGGAUGUCUUUGGUUGAGAUUAACUGGAUAUGGUUUCUCAUUACAAAGUUAAAACGUUGUGAAGAGGCAAGAGUGAAUGACGGCAUUACAUCACUAACCACCAGCCACCAUCUUUUGGACUGAAUCUCAUUCCACUGAGGGUGGAUGCUGUUUGUUGUAAGAAAAAAAGGGCUAGGAAGAAGAGAGGAAGAAAAGAAGGAAGAGAAGAAGGAAGGUAGGUUCAGGCAGAAGAGAAUAACUGGUGUUACUAUUAGCUGUACUCUUUUAAUUUUCAAAUCAAGUUCAGUAAAUCAGAUAAUUUCUUUC
rnacentral:lncRNA from 1 species